AGUGAACGCUGGCGGUAUGCCUAACACAUGCAAGUCGAACGGCAGCACAGUAAGAGCUUGCUCUUACGGUUGGCGAGUGGCGGACGGGUGAGGAAUACAUCGGAAUCUACUUUUUCGUGGGGGAUAACGUAGGGAAACUUACGCUAAUACCGCAUACGACCUACGGGUGAAAUCAGGGGAUCUUCGGACCUUGCGCGAUUGAAUUAGCCGAUGUCGGAUUAGCUAGUUGGCUGGGUAAAGGCCCACCAAGGCGACGAUCCGUAGCUGGUCUGAGAGGAUGAUCAGCCACACUGGAACUGAGACACGGUCCAGACUCCUACGGGAGGCAGCAGUGGGGAAUCUUGGACAAUGGGCGAAAGCCUGACCCAGCAACACCGCGUGGGUGAAGAAGGCCUUCGGGUUGUAAAGCCCUUUUGUUGGGAAAGAAAAGCAGCAGGUUAAUCCACCGCUGUUCUGACGGUACCCAAAGAAUAAGCAACGGCUAACUUCGUG
rnacentral:rRNA from 1 species